rnacentral:rRNA from 1 species
GUGAGGAAUAUUGGUCAAUGGGCGGAAGCCUGAACCAGCCAAGUAGCGUGCAGGACGACGGCCCUAUGGGUUGUAAACUGCUUUUAUACGGGGAUAAAGUGCGCCACGUGUGGAGCAUUGCAGGUACCGUAUGAAUAAGGACCGGCUAAUUCCGUGCCAGCAGCCGCGGUAAUACGGAAGGUCCGGGCGUUAUCCGGAUUUAUUGGGUUUAAAGGGAGCGCAGGCCGGAAGCAAAGCGUGCCGUGAAAUGUAGAUGCUCAACAUCUGAAUUGCGGCGCGAACUGGUUUUCUUGAGUGCAUACGAGGUAGGCGGAAUUUGUGGUGUAGCAGUGAAAUGCUUAGAUAUCACGAAGAACUCCGAUUGCGAAGGCAGCCUACCAGGAUGUAACUGACGCUAAAGCUCGAAAGUGCGGGUAUCGAACAGGAUUAGAAACCCGGGUAGUCC